GAAAUGCGAUAAGUAAUGUGAAUUGCAGAAUUCAGUGAAUCAUCGAAUCUUUGAACGCACCUUGCGCUCUUUGGUAUUCCGAAGAGCAUGCCUGUUUGAGUGUCAUGAAAAUAUCAACCUUGACUUGGGUUUAGUGCUCUUGUCUUGGCUUGGAUUUGGCUGUUUGCCGCUCGAAAGAGUCGGCUCAGCUUAAAAGUAUUAGCUGGAUCUGUCUUUGAGACUUGGUUUGACUUGGCGUAAUAAGUUAUUUCGCUGAGGACAAUCUUCGGAUUGGCCGAGUUUCUGGGACGUUUGUCCGCUUUCUAAUACAAGUUCUAGCUUGCUAGACAUGACUUUUUUAUUAUCUGGCCUCAAAUCAGGUAGGACUACCCGCUGAACUUAA
rnacentral:misc_RNA from 1 species